rnacentral:rRNA from 1 species
AUACGUAGGUGGCAAGCGUUGUCCGGAAUUAUUGGGCGUAAAGCGCAUGUAGGCGGUUUGGUAAGUCGGUCGUGAAACUGCGGUUCUUACCGGCGUUUGGCGGUCGAAACAGCUGAACUUGAGUGCAGGAGAUGAAAGGGGAACUCCCAGUGUAGGCGUGAAAUGCGUAGACAUUGGGAAGAACCCCGGUGGUGAAGGCGGCUUUCUGGACUGUGUCUGACGCUCAGAUGCGAAAGCCAGGUUAGCGAACGGGAUUAGAUACCCCGGUAGUCCUGGCCGUAAACGAGGGGUACAAGGUGUGGGAGGUAUCGACUCCUUCCGUGCCGGAGUUAACGCAAUAAGUACCCCGCCUGGGGAGUACGGCCGCAAGGCUUAAACUCAAAGGAAUUGACGGGG